CAAUAAACUCCAAAAUUAUACAGAAAACCUCGCACACACAGUAAUCAAUCAAUAACUGAAGCAAAUUUUAAAUAUUGGGAGAAAUAUAUUACUAAUUUCCGUCACCGAUUUAAAAAUUGUGAAAGUACAGGUUUUAAAAUAUAUCGAACCCAGAUGAAUCUCACACCAAGGAAGACGUUCGAAUGUCCAAAGUGCUUCAAAACGUACAAAUUCAAGUCGAAAUUUACCUCGCACCUCAUCAGACACGAACCCAAAGUGAAAUGCAAGAUAUGCGGAAAAAUUUCGAAAAACCCAGUCGCCUUGUCCAAGCAUAUCAGAAACCUUCACACUAAUCGGGAACGUCCUAGUUGCGCCCUUUGUCGCAGGGAGUUUCAUGACCCCGUCGCUUUACGGAAACACAUUAAAGUCAUCCACGGAACGAGUGAAAGACCCCGAUUGCCAUGUGGAUUUCUCGGUUGUGAGAAAACCUUCCUGGAUAAAUAUCAAGUUUCGCAACACGUAAUAACUGACCAUGCCGAGAACCGGUCCGAUAUCCGUGCACACUUUGUGGAAAAGAAUUCAAAACGAAAGGACACCUUGAGGGCCACAUUCCCACCCACACGACGGAGAAGCCGUUUAAGUGUACAAACUGUGGGAUUAGUUUCCCCAGCAGACGAAACCUUAAAGGU